UGUGUGUGUGUGUGAGAAAGAGAGAGAUAGCGAGGGAGAGAGAGAGAGAGCUGCAUCUUACACAGUAUGCUCCAUGGGAAGGGACUGCUAGGACCUUUUCAGAGAGUCCCGGACCAGGCAAUAACAAGUUGUAGGUAAAAUGUCAACCAUAAGGUUUCUGCUUUCUGAGGUACCGUCUCCUGGGGCUUUCUGAGGUACCGUCUCCUAGGUUUUCUGAGGUACCGUCUCCUGGGGCUUUCUGAGGUACCGUCUCCUGGGGCUUUCUGAGGUGUCGUCUCCUAGGGCUUUCUGAGGUACCGUCUCCUGGGGCUUUCUGAGGUACCGUCUCCUGCAUCUGUGCCCUGGGGCUUUCUGAGGUACCGUCUCCUGGGGCUUUCUGAGGUACCGUCUCCUGCCGCUGAGCCCCGGAGACAAGAAGUAGAAGACUAACAAAGUCCUAUUCUAUUGUAUCCUAUCAGCUGAUGUCCAGGAUGUGGAUUUGUUCAAUGAGUAAUAGCAUACAGUACUUGUGUCAGACACACCCUAG
ensembl:lncRNA